rnacentral:rRNA from 1 species
CCUACGGGCGGCUGCAGUGGGGAAUAUUGCGCAAUGGGCGCAAGCCUGAUGCAGCAACGCCGCGUGAAGGAAGAAGGCUUUCGGCUCGUAAACUUCUAUCACCAGGGACGAAAGAAGUGACGGUACCUGAAGAAGAAGCCACGGCUAACUACGUGCCAGCAGCCGCGGUAAUACGUAGGGGGCAAGCGUUAUCCGGAUUUACUGGGUGUAAAGGGUGAGUAGGCGGCAAAGUAAGCCAGAUGUGAAAGCCAUGGGCUGAACCCGAGGCCUGCAUUUGGAACUGUCAAUCUUGAGUACAGGAGAGGCAGACGGAAUUCCUAGUGUAGCGGUGAAAUGCGUAGAUAUUAGGAAGAACACCAGUGGCGAAGGCGGUCUUCUGGACUGCAACUGACGCUGAGGCGCGAAAGCGUGGGGAGCGAACAGGAUUAGAUACCCGUGUAGUC